GAACCAGUGAAUCCCAGGCCGCCAAAGUGGAACGUGCGAACUUAACCACUGCACCACCAGGCCGGCCCCAAGAUUUGUCAUCUCUUGCAUGAGCCUCUUCCAUUAAGGAAAGAACAAAAAAUGGAGGGGAGCUCUAUGAUAAUGUGGAAAUUCUUCAGUGAAUGCUCAUGUCUUAAGACACACAAUAUUAUUCAAAAUAGAGGGAAGAUUUGCGAUGAUGAUCAUUAUGGAAAAGGCUUUCUGAUUCCUCCCAGGAAAACCAAUACCAGAGAGAAACAUUCCGAGCUUAAUGAGUCCAGAAAAGCCAUCAGCCUGACUCCAAAUACUGUGUAACAGAGAAUAUGCACGCAAGGGACACCCUUCGAUGCAGUGGCUGUGGGAACGCCUUUGUUAAUCACUUACACCUUCACAUACACAUGAGAACUCACAAUGAAAAAAACUACGGAAGGAAUAUGGGAGAUCUUCUAUUCACUCCACAAACUUUCUGUGCGUAUACAAACUCACACCACAAAAAAAUUCCUGUGAAAGUAAAGAAUGUGGAAAAGGCUAUAGGUAUUCUGCCUAGGUUAAUAUUCACAUGUGAUCCCACACUGGAGAGAAGCCCCGUGUGUGUAAGCUAUGUGGGAAAGCAUUUCCAUACUCCUCACCUGAAUAUGCACUUACAGACUCAGUGCCAAAAACCACACUCAAGUAAGGAAUGCAGCAAGACCUUUCAACGUUCCACAAACCUUAAUAUGGCCCUGUGAACCCACCCUGGUGAGAAGCCCUAUGAUUGUAAGCAAUGUGGAAAACUUCCACUGUUUCCUCACACCUAACUCAACAUAGAAGAAUUUGUGGUGGGGAGAAAAUCCAUAAAUGAAAAGAAUGGGGCAAACUUUUCACUAGUUCAUCUCAACUUUCAGAGCAUACAAAAAUACACAGUGGAGAGAAGCCUUUUGAAUGAAAGCAAUGUGGGAAAACCUUCACUCAAUCCUCAAACUGUUCUGGACGUCAGAUAACUCAUACUGGCGAGAUGCUCUUCAGUGUAAGCUAUGUGGGAAAGCAUUUAUGUAUUCCUCAUGCCUGAAUGAGCACUUGUGGACUCACAGUGCUGAAAAACCACAUACACGUAAGGAAUCAGACCAGGCAUUUACAUGCUCCACAAACCUCUCUAGCCACACGUGGACUCACACUGGAGAAAAGCCCUAUGAAUGUAAACAGUGUGGGAAAGAUUUCACUUCUUUUAGUUCAUUUCAAAUACGCAAAGGAAUUCAUACUGGAGAGAAAUCCUAUGAACAUACACUGUGUAGUAAAGCCUUCAACUCUCCCACUUCCUUUUGAAGUUCUGAAAGAAGUCCCACUGGAGAGAAACUCUAUCAAUAUAAGGAACGUGGGAAAGACUUUAGUUGACUCCAUUCAGUUUGGCUACAUGAAAGAAAUCACACUGGAGAGAAACUAUCAAUGUAAGGAAUGUGAGAAAUCCCUUAAUUGUCCUGAUUGAUCUCAAAGUCACAAACAAACUCAACUGGAGAGAGACCCUAUGAAUAUGGAAACAUUGUCACAAAUGCCAGUCACAGUUUUUAUUAACAUGUAAAAAUUUACAGUGGAGAGAAGUCAUGUCAAUAGAGAAUAUAGAAAAGUGUUCAUAAAUCCUCAGGACUUACUUCACACACCAGAAUUCACCCUGAGGGGGACACCGUGUGAAUGUAUGCAAUGUGGGAAGGGCUUCACUGCUUUCUCAAACCUUAAUGAAUAUGUAAGAAUACACAGUGGAGAGAAGCUAUAUGGUUUAGGAACGUGGAAAAGCCUAUAGUUGAUACUGCUACUUACUCAUUUAAGAACUUAUGCUAUAGGCAAAUGUAUGAAUUAAAGAAUACAAAAACCUUUCUCAUUCCACAAACCUUCCUAGGCACAUGCAAACUAAUACUGGUUUAAAACCUAACAGUUUAUGGGAUGGCCUGAAUUCUGCCCCUCCAGGAUUCAUAUGUUAAAGACCCAGCCAAAAUACCUCAGAAUGUAUCCAUGUUUGGAGCUAAGGUUGUUAAAGAGGUGAUUAGGUUAAAUUGAGGUCUCUGUGUGGAGCUCUAAUUCAGUAUCACUGGUGUCCAAAUAAGAGGUGAAAGAGACACCAGGGAUGCACGCACACAGAGAGAGGGCCGUGUGGAGACAGCAGAGGAUGGCCAUCUGCAAGCCAAGGAAAGAGUCCUGGAGGAGAUGCUUCAGUUAAACCUUCCAGAAAAACCAACCUUGUUGGCACCAUGAUUUUGGACUUCUCACCUCCAGAAUUGUGAGAAAAUGAGUUUCUGCUGCUUAAGCCGUCCAGUCAGUGGUAUUUUUUAUGGCAGUCCUGCAAAAUCAAUACCUUAAAGAAUGUGGAAAAGCCUUUAGGUGAUCUUCUACACUCAAUAUUCCCAAGUGAAACCCCACUGGAGAGAAACCCUGUGAGUGUACAGAAUAUGGGAAAGCCUUCAUGCAGUCUUCAGCCCUUUCUAAAUGUAAGAAAUCGUACUGGAGGAAGUUCUGUCAAUGGAAGUCAUGUGUAAAAGUCUUAAAAUGUUCAUCAGCCCUUGAUAGUCACAUGCAAAUCACCUGGUGACAGACCCUAUAAAAAUAAACAAAAAAAAGAAACGAAAGAAAUGAAAGGUUCUUUUACUGUGAGGGUAAAGAAUGUGACCUUAUAGAACAUGUAGGAACUUAGAGUGGACUCACUAUAAGGCAUGUAGAUGAGCUUUCAGUAAUAUUUCAUGCCUUACAGAAGGUGUAAAAACUGACACUGCAGAGAAGCCUUUUGCUUGUAAGGCAUGUGGGAAAGCUUUCAUGCAUUACACAAAUCUUAUUUUACACAUCUAUAAUUGUGGUAAAAGCCCUAGGAACAUAAGGAAUGUGGUGCAACCCUUAAAUAUUUCACGUCAUGAUGUUCACAUGAAGUUUCAUAUUGGAGAAAGUCCCUAUGUCUGGAAGAAGAUGGUCCACAUCUGCAUAUUGCUCAAGCCUUAAUAUCCAGAUGAGAAUUCACACUCUGUAAAGACCCUGUGAAUGUAAAGGGCACAGGAAGACUUUCACUUGCUCCUCACAUCUUACCAUUUAGGAACUCACAGUUGAGAGCUGGUGUAAAAAUUUAAGAAGUGUGAGAAAGCCAGCAGACUGUCCUCACAACCCUGAAUGUAAGGACUCACACUGAAGAUCUACCAUGUAAGAAAUGUGGAAAACCCUUCAUUAUGUGCUCAGUUAUUAGGAAAUAAGUGAGAUAUCUUGCUUUGGAGACCAACCCUAAUAAUAUAAGAUGUGAAAAGUUGUAGUUCUGCUAAUUAUUUUACUAUUCACUUGUAAUCUAAAAGUGGAGAAAAACUUAAUGAAUGUCAAAAAUGCUUCAAAGUCAUCAUUUUCCCAUUAGAUUGUCCCUCUUCCUUUAAUUAACAUGGCGUGAUUCACAGUCUAAACACGAGAUGACUCACACUCAAAAGACAUUGGGAAUGUAGGGAAUGUGGGAAGCAUUUCCCUCAGUCCAGAAAUCAGGUAUGCUGAGUGCAACAUUGCAUUCUGGGUGGUUCUGUAGAUCUAUUUUGAACAUUUGGGAUUCUGUCCUGACCGUUUUGGGGCACAAUGUGGCUUUCUUUCCCCUGAUAGCCAUGCUGGGCCAGUCCAGUUGCUACAACUUCCAGGUUUAAAACUGGCCAAAUGCGGGCUGAUAGGAUCUGCACUUAGUCCUGUUAUAGCUCCUGCAUUCCCUAGUUGGAUUAAUAUGGUUGUACAUUGUGAAGACAGUGACUGCUUGACUGAAUUCACUGCUCAUGGAGUGUGUCUACAGUGGCUCACACUGGCCAAGAUGGGGAUAUAAUACACCUUUGUGGGUUUUUUAAUAAAACCCUUCUCUCACACCUUAUCCAUUCAGAUAAAAGGUGAGUGUGUGAGCAGAAGAUGAGCGGUGGAAAGGUGAGGUUACACACCCAGAUUUCAUGGCCAUGGUGGAGAGAAACAACCCCAACUCUUGGGGAAAGAAUACUUUGGACCUCAGCAAAGUACAGAGGGAGUCAAAAACAUCCAGCACCACAGCCUGGAAAAACAACCAUAUUGUCUGCCUGAGUCAUGAAACAGCUGCAGCUUGAAAUAUGACUGGCUGCUGGAUUUGUCAUUCCGUCCAUGUGGCAUGAAAAAGGAAAAACUUGUUAACAGGACUGGUCCUGAUAAUCUGCUGUGCCUGAUGCCAUCAAUGGCAUUUCAUGAUUGUUGGCCCUGAGAACAGGCACAGAGACCAGCACAGCCUCAUUUCAGUCUGUAUGAUACAAAUUCACAUAGUUCUGAAGUUCAAGCAGCCUCGAGUUUGUCAUGACUGGCCAUCGAGGAUGCUGCUGGUUGAUGACACUUGGCAUGGGGCUUGAUCAAACCUGUGUAAUGGUAAUGCAUAUCAAGUUUAAAAGUCAAACAUGAAAAAGAAUGACCUGUGCCCUUUUGUGUUUAUGUUUGUGGAGGAGAGUGGGUUGUGGAGAAGUUCACUCUGGGUAUGAGUGUUGCUGUUUAGACUGGGUCACAGCCUGUAGUUAUUAGGAACAACACCAAAUAUAGCAGCUUAGCUUUUACUCUGUUGUGUAGGUUAUAUGGGAGAGUGGACUGACCUUACAUGACAUCUUGACUCCUCCAUGGAUCUUGUUCACAGUUGACUGAAUCCGAGAUUUUGGGGUCAUGGGUGAGAUUAAUCCUACAGGUUGGCCUCGUCCUGCUGUCUGGACUCCUAAUGAUAGUAGCAUUAAUAAAUGCUGUAUGAGUUAAACUGA